AAGAAACCCAACACAGGCAGACGUUUGGGUAGAAAAAUAAGAAGCCUUUGCUUCUUCCCAAAAGCCAGCACCGUUAGUUUUGGUAUGCUAACACAAACUGGCAGCUUAAUGUCAAUGUCACUGACGGGAGUAUACGGAUACCUAUCACUAUUGCUGAGUACGGCCUACGAUUACUACUAGUAGUCACCAGGCCUUAAGUUGAGGAUUCUAUUUGAUGGUGCUCCAAGUUCCGAAGUACGAUUCGAGCAAAGAUUUUGGCUUCAAUAGGGGCAGUGGCUGCUGCAGCAGCAGCACGCAAA
rnacentral:misc_RNA from 1 species